rnacentral:rRNA from 1 species
AAAUUGAAGAGUUUGAUCAUGGCUCAGAUUGAACGCUGGCGGCAGGCCUAACACAUGCAAGUCGAACGGUAACAGGAAGCAGCUUGCUGCUUCGCUGACGAGUGGCGGACGGGUGAGUAAUGUCUGGGAAACUGCCUGAUGGAGGGGGAUAACUACUGGAAACGGUAGCUAAUACCGCAUAACGUCGCAAGACCAAAGAGGGGGACCUUCGGGCCUCUUGCCAUCGGAUGUGCCCAGAUGGGAUUAGCUAGUAGGUGGGGUAACGGCUCACCUAGGCGACGAUCCCUAGCUGGUCUGGAGGAUGACCAGCCACACUGGAACUGAGACACGGUCCAGACUCCUACGGGAGGCAGCAGUGGGGAAUAUUGCACAAUGGGCGCAAGCCUGAUGCAGCCAUGCCGCGUGUAUGAAGAAGGCCUUCGGGUUGUAAAGUACUUUCAGCGGGGAGGAAGGCGAUAAGGUUAAUAACCUUGUCGAUUGACGUUACCCGCAGAAGAAGCACCGGCUAACUCCGUGCCAGCAGCCGCGGUAAUACGGAGGGUGCAAGCGUUAAUCGGAAUUACUGGGCGUAAAGCGCACGCAGGCGGUCUGUCAAGUCGGAUGUGAAAUCCCCGGGCUCAACCUGGGAACUGCAUUCGAAACUGGCAGGCUAGAGUCUUGUAGAGGGGGUAGAAUUCCAGGUGUAGCGGUGAAAUGCGUAGAGAUCUGGAGGAAUACCGGUGGCGAAGGCGGCCCCCUGGACAAAGACUGACGCUCAGGUGCGAAAGCGUGGGGAGCAAACAGGAUUAGAUACCCCUGGUAGUCCACGCCGUAAACGAUGUCGACUUGGAGGUUGUGCCCUUGAGGCGUGGCUUCCGGAGCUAACGCGUUAAGUCGACCGCCUGGGGAGUACGGCCGCAAGGUUAAAACUCAAAUGAAUUGACGGGGGCCCGCACAAGCGGUGGAGCAUGUGGUUUAAUUCGAUGCAACGCGAAGAACCUUACCUACUCUUGACAUCCAGAGAACUUAGCAGAGAUGCUUUGGUGCCUUCGGGAACUCUGAGACAGGUGCUGCAUGGCUGUCGUCAGCUCGUGUUGUGAAAUGUUGGGUUAAGUCCCGCAACGAGCGCAACCCUUAUCCUUUGUUGCCAGCGGUUAGGCCGGGAACUCAAAGGAGACUGCCAGUGAUAAACUGGAGGAAGGUGGGGAUGACGUCAAGUCAUCAUGGCCCUUACGAGUAGGGCUACACACGUGCUACAAUGGCGCAUACAAAGAGAAGCGACCUCGCGAGAGCAAGCGGACCUCAUAAAGUGCGUCGUAGUCCGGAUUGAGUCUGCAACUCGACUCCAUGAAGUCGGAAUCGCUAGUAAUCGUGGAUCAGAAUGCCACGGUGAAUACGUUCCCGGGCCUUGUACACACCGCCCGUCACACCAUGGGAGUGGGUUGCAAAAGAAGUAGGUAGCUUAACCUUCGGGAGGGCGCUUACCACUUUGUGAUUCAUGACUGGGGUGAAGUCGUAACAAGGUAACCGUAGGGGAACCUGCGGUUGGAUCACCUCCUUA